GACGAACGCUGGCGGCGUGCCUAAUACAUGCAAGUAGAACGCUGAAGGAGGAGCUUGCUUCUCUGGAUGAGUUGCGAACGGGUGAGUAACGCGUAGGUAACCUGCCUGGUAGCGGGGGAUAACUAUUGGAAACGAUAGCUAAUACCGCAUACUAGUAGAUGUUGCAUGACAUUUGCUUAUAAGGUGCAAUUGCAUCACUACCAGCUGGACCUGCGUUGUAUUAGCUAGUUGGUGGGGUAACGGCUCACCAAGGCGACGAUACAUAGCCGACCUGAGAGGGUGAUCGGCCACCCUGGGACUGAGACACGGCCCAGACGCCUACGGGAGGCAGCAGUAGGGAAUCUUCAGCAAUGGACGGAAGUCUGACCGAGCAACGCCGCGUGAGUGAAGAAGGUUUUCGGAUCGUAAAGCUCUGUUGUAAGAGAAGAACGAGUGUGAGAGUGGAAAGUUCACACUGUGACGGUAUCUUAACAGAAAGGGACGGCUAACUACGUG
rnacentral:rRNA from 1 species